UUUAAUUCGAAGCAACGCGAAGAACCUUACCAGGUCUUGACAUCCUCUGACACUCCUAGAAAUAGGACGUUCCCCUUCGGGGGACAGAGUGACAGGUGGUGCAUGGUUGUCGUCAGCUCGUGUCGUGAGAUGUUGGGUUAAGUCCCGCAACGAGCGCAACCCUUGAUCUUAGUUGCCAGCAUUAAGUUGGGCACUCUAAGGUGACUGCCGGUGACAAACCGGAGGAAGGUGGGGAUGACGUCAAAUCAUCAUGCCCCUUAUGACCUGGGCUACACACGUGCUACAAUGGAUGGUACAAAGGGCAGCAAAACCGCGAGGUCGAGCAAAUCCCAUAAAACCAUUCUCAGUUCGGAUUGUAGGCUGCAACUCGCCUACAUGAAGCUGGAAUCGCUAGUAAUCGCGGAUCAGCAUGCCG
rnacentral:rRNA from 1 species